UGCAGUCGANCGGUGAACCNGGUGCUUGCACUUGGGGAUCAGUGGCGAACGGGUGAGUAACACGUGAGCAACCUGCCCCUGACUCUGGGAUAAGCGCUGGAAACGGCGUCUAAUACUGGAUACGAGAUGUGAUCGCAUGGUCAAUGUCUGGAAAGAUUUUUCGGUUGGGGAUGGGCUCGCGGCCUAUCAGCUUGUUGGUGAGGUAAUGGCUCACCAAGGCGUCGACGGGUAGCCGGCCUGAGAGGGUGACCGGCCACACUGGGACUGAGACACGGCCCAGACUCCUACGGGAGGCAGCAGUGGGGAAUAUUGCACAAUGGGCGGAAGCCUGAUGCAGCAACGCCGCGUGAGGGACGACGGCCUUCGGGUUGUAAACCUCUUUUAGCAGGGAAGAAGCGAAAGUGACGGUACCUGCAGAAAAAGCGCCGGCUAACUACGUGCCAGCAGCCGCGGUAAUACGUAGGGCGCAAGCGUUAUCCGGAAUUAUUGGGCGUAAAGAGCUCGUAGGCGGUUUGUCGCGUCUGCUGUGAAAUCCGGAGGCUCAACCUCCGGCCUGCAGUGGGUACGGGCAGACUAGAGUGCGGUAGGGGAGAUUGGAAUUCCUGGUGUAGCGGUGGAAUGCGCAGAUAUCAGGAGGAACACCGAUGGCGAAGGCAGAUCUCUGGGCCGUAACUGACGCUGAGGAGCGAAAGGGUGGGGAGCAAACAGGCUUAGAUACCCUGGUAGUCCACCCCGUAAACGUUGGGAACUAGUUGUGGGGUCCAUUCCACGGAUUCCGUGACGCAGCUAACGCAUUAAGUUCCCCGCCUGGGGAGUACGGCCGCAAGGCUAAAACUCAAAGGAAUUGACGGGGACCCGCACAAGCGGCGGAGCAUGCGGAUUAAUUCGAUGCAACGCGAAGAACCUUACCAAGGCUUGACAUAUACGAGAACGGGCCAGAAAUGGUCAACUCUUUGGACACUCGUAAACAGGUGGUGCAUGGUUGUCGUCAGCUCGUGUCGUGAGAUGUUGGGUUAAGUCCCGCAACGAGCGCAACCCUCGUUCUAUGUUGCCAGCACGUAAUGGUGGGAACUCAUGGGAUACUGCCGGGGUCAACUCGGAGGAAGGUGGGGAUGACGUCAAAUCAUCAUGCCCCUUAUGUCUUGGGCUUCACGCAUGCUACAAUGGCCGGUACAAAGGGCUGCAAUACCGUGAGGUGGAGCGAAUCCCAAAAAGCCGGUCCCAGUUCGGAUUGAGGUCUGCAACUCGACCUCAUGAAGUCGGAGUCGCUAGUAAUCGCAGAUCAGC
rnacentral:rRNA from 1 species